rnacentral:tRNA from 1 species
AGUCUUAUAUUCAAAUAUGAUAUAAAAUUGCAAAUUUUAAGGUAUAAUAAUUAUUAAGGCUU